rnacentral:rRNA from 1 species
UGCGUAGGCGGUUUUGGUAAGUCAGAUGUGAAAUUCCUGGGCUCAACCGAGGAACUGCAUUUGAUACUGCCAGACUAGAGUACUGGAGAGGAGACUGGAAUUUACGGUGUAGCAGUGAAAUGCGUAGAUAUCGUAAGGAAGGCCAGUGGCGAAGGCGAGUCUCUGGACAGUAACUGACGCUGAGGCACGAAGGCUAGGGGAGCAAACG